AAUACCGCAUAACCAUAGUUACCGCAUGGUAACUAUGUAAAAGGUGGCUAUGCUACCGCUUUUGGAUGGGCCCGCGGCGCAUUAGCUAGUUGGUGGGGUAAAGGCUUACCAAGGCAAUGAUGCGUAGCCGAACUGAGAGGUUGAUCGGCCACAUUGGGACUGAGAUACGGCCCAAACUCCUACGGGAGGCAGCAGUAGGGAAUCUUCCACAAUGGGCGAAAGCCUGAUGGAGCAACGCCGCGUGGGUGAAGAAGGUCUUCGGAUCGUAAAACCCUGUUGUUAGAGAAGAAAGUGCGUGAGAGUAACUGUUCACGUUUCGACGGUAUCUAACCAGAAAGCCACGGCUAACUACGUGCCAGCAGCCGCGGUAAUACGUAGGUGGCAAGCGUUAUCCGGAUUUAUUGGGCGUAAAGGGAACGCAGGCGGUCUUUUAAGUCUGAUGUGAAAGCCUUCGGCUUAACCGGAGUAGUGCAUUGGAAACUGGGAGACUUGAGUGCAGAAGAGGAGAGUGGAACUCCAUGUGUAGCGGUGAAAUGCGUAGAUAUAUGGAAGAACACCAGUGGCGAAAGCGGCUCUCUGGUCUGUAACUGACGCUGAGGUUCGAAAGCGUGGGUAGCAAACAGGAUUAGAUACCCUGGUAGUCCACGCCGUAAACGAUGAAUGCUAAGUGUUGGAGAGUUUCCGCCCUUCAGUGCUGCAGC
rnacentral:rRNA from 1 species